UACGUAGGGUGCGAGCGUUAAUCGGAAUUACUGGGCGUAAAGCGUGCGCAGGCGGCGGCUCAAGUCAGGUGUGAAAUCCCCCGGGCUUAACCUGGGAAUUGCGCUUGAAACUAGGUCGCUAGAGUGUGGCAGAGGGGGGUGGAAUUCCGACGUGUAGCAGUGAAAUGCGUAGAGAUGUGGAGGAACACCGAUGGCGAAGGCAGCCCCCCUGGGUCAACACUGACGCUCAUGCACGAAAGCGUGGGGAGCAAACAG
rnacentral:rRNA from 1 species